AGGACGAACGCUGGCGGCGCGCUUAACACAUGCAAGUCGAGCGAGAACCGGACCUUCGGGUCCGGGGACAGCGGCGAACGGGUGAGUAACACGUGGGUAAUCUGCCCUCGAUUCUGGGAUAGCCCGGGGAAACCCGGAUUAAUACCGGAUAGCCUCUUGAGCCUUCGGGCUCUCGAGAAAAGGUAGCUUCGGCCUCCGAUCGAGGAUGAGCCCGCGGUGGAUUAGCUUGUUGGUGGGGUAAUGGCCCACCAAGGCGACGAUCCAUAGCUGGUCUGAGAGGACGAUCAGCCACACUGGGACUGAGACACGGCCCAGACUCCUACGGGAGCAGCAGUGGGAAUCUUGCGCAAUGGGACGAAAGCCUGACGCAGCGACGCCGCGGUGGGAAGAAGGCCGUUAGGGUUCGUAAACCGUCUUCAGCGAGGACGAAGCCACGUCGGUUAAUA
rnacentral:rRNA from 1 species